UUGGGAAUAUGAGGGCAAAGGUAAUUUGGUUGAGAGCAAUUGUGUUGUGAUAAUAUGCAUUAUUUUUAGAUGGAGAACAGGAGGCAAGAUCAAUUCAAACCCAAAGAACUCUAUGCAAGAAGACUCCAAUAAACUCUGGGAACUGGAAGCACAGCAACCAGUGGCACUGUGUCCUGUUCAAGCAAAACUGUUCCAAGAGAAGGCAGACCAACUGGAAAGAGUCCAGAGCAAAGCAGAGAAAAUGGUCAGUUGUCUUGGGAAAAAAGAAAAGUCACGAGAAAGAGAGAUUGAAAGAAUUGGGGUUACUCAGUUUAAAAAACAGAAGGACAACUAGACACAUGAGAACUAUCAUCUACACAAGUUACCUCUAGGGAGGAUUCCAAUGGAGUCUGCUAGAGAAGUCUUCUUAUCUGCUGAAGCCUGCCCUUCUGUUAAGCUACUCCACCAGCUGCUAACAAGACACAUAACUCAUUUGCCUCAGGGUCUACUUAUUAUGAUCAGAGAUGAAAGACACAGAACUGAGUGAAAUGAGAUGUGGGCAGAAAAGAUGGAGACACACCUUGUUAGAGGGCUGCAGAAUCAGGUUGCUUCAUCUAACAAUUUUUUCAUGUGCUCAUUCUUUGUAUUAUUCAAAAUUCCAGAUCAUAAUAAAGUGUUUAAUAAAGUAUCCUCACUUGUCAGAAAUGAUUAAAUUCCUUUUGCCUGCAGUCCACCAAAGAUCCAAUUCUGUCAAAUACAGACAUUUUUGGCCAAAGAACUGUAUCAUAUAGAUGAUCAGCUGUCCUGGUUUGGGGCAAAUUUGGGAGGAAACUCAAAGAAAAUCUCAUAGAGGGAGGUUGGUUGCA